ensembl:lncRNA
UUACUUACCUUCAUGAGCAGCAGCCUCACUCCCCUCCAUGACCAGAGCAAGCCUAGUGGGCAGUGAGAAAUCAGGCAUAGCUUUCUCUCCCAGAGAUACUACUUGGGCAGUAAUGGGCAUGUCUGGGAGUGUAGGCCAUUGCAAUCUCAGGGACACAGGGGGAGAGAGCUCCUCAGAACAGGAGGCUGGGUCAGAGCCAGCAGAGGAAGGAGUGAGUCUCGGCAGUGGGGACCACCCAAUUGCCUCUUGGCUGGCAAGCUCAGAGUGUGGACUGCAAAAAAGGGGAGGAGAUAUUGCAGUGGUCCCAGGACAUCCUUCUGCCCAGGUGUCCGGAGCUCAGCCAGGUCACCUCUGGGUCCAGUGCCCUCAGCUGUCUGGGUGAGUGGAGUGGCUGUAUGACCUUGGGUGGGUGUUUUCUAGCUCCAGGCUCAUCCACAGGGUUUGUAGGCUGUCUGUCCCCAAACUGUGGUAACCUGUCCCCAGGGACCCACCUUGGUACAGGCCCUGGCAUGUGCUCGCCUGCCAUCCAAGAGGAUGCUGCCCAGCCUUCCAGGGCAGACUGGGCCUCCUGCAGCACCGUUCUCCUUCAUCUGGGUGCUCUCUCCAGAGAUGCAGAGAACUGUACACUUUUAGCUCCUGUAAACUCAGCAAGACCUGGUUUAUCCUCCUCAAACCCAGGUCUCCUGCAUUGCAGGCAGAUUCUUUCCAAUCUGAGCCACCAGGGAAACCCAAGUGUUAGUCGCUCAAUUCUGUCUGACUCUUUGCGGCCCUAUGGAUUGUAGCCCACCAGGAUCCUCUGUCUGUGGGAUUCUCCAGGCAAGAGUACUGGAGUGGGUAGCCAUUCUCUUCUCCAGGGGAUCUUCCCAAACCAGGGAUCAAACCCAGGUCUCCUGCAUUGCAGGUGGAUUCUUUAACAUCUGAGCCACCAGGGAAGCCCUCAAAGACUACAGUAAAGAUAUACUCAUUCUCAGAACCCUUUUAGGAUCUCCAGGGCACCUCAGGACAAGCCGACAUGGGCACUAUAAUACGGCGACUGUGAUACAACUUUGGGAUUCAAAUGGAUACUGUUCUGGUGAACUUGCCAGUUUUAGAGAUUCCAGCUUUGGAGAAGGAGGAAGUCUGCCUCACAAAGGUCUGGGAGAGUUCUCUCUUCCUCAGUUUUCUUGCCAUGCUCUGCAUUUUGUAUGCCAGCAGUGGCUUCAAAAGCAUGGUUUAAUAACUACCAAAUUAAAUUAUCACCUAAGACUCUAUCACCUCAAGUGACUUUUAAACUAAUCUUUCUCUCUUUUUUCAGUAUAAGUCGAGACAGUCCACGCACAGAGUAUAAAGUAAUAAGUACAUGUUCUGUUCCCCAGUGACAUCCACCACAA